CGUGUCGUGAGAUGUUGGGUUAAGUCCCGCAACGAGCGCAACCCUUGUCUUUAGUUGCCAUCAUUAAGUUGGGCACUCUAAAGAGACUGCCGGUGACAAACCGGAGGAAGGUGGGGAUGACGUCAAGUCAUCAUGCCCCUUAUGACCUGGGCUACACACGUGCUACAAUGGGCAGUACAACGAGAAGCGAACCCGCGAGGGUAAGCGGAUCUCUUAAAGCUGUUCUCAGUUCGGACUGCAGGCUGCAACUCGCCUGCACGAAGCUGGAAUCGCUAGUAAUCGCGGAUCAGCACGCCGCGGUGAAUACGUUCCCGGGCCUUGUACACACCGCCCGUCACACCAUGGAAGUCUGCAAUGCCCAAAGUCGGUGGGAUAACCUUUAUAGGAGUCAGCCGCCUAAGGCAGGGCAGAUGACUGGGGUGAAGUCGUAACAAGGUAGCCGUAGGAGAACCUGCGGCUGGAUCACCUCCUUUCUAAGGAA
rnacentral:rRNA from 1 species